rnacentral:rRNA from 1 species
GACGAACGCUGGCGGCGUGCUUAACACAUGCAAGUCGAGCGGACAGACCCUGCUUUUUCGGGGUGCUCGAUUGGCGAACAGGUGAGUAAAACGCGAGUAACCCCUCCCUGUCUGUGGGGUAACUUCACGGAAAUGGGGCUCAUAUAGGAUAGGAGCUUCUGCUGCGCGGUGGGGAUUGGAAAGUUUCGGCGGUGGGGGAUAGUCUGGCGGCUUAUCCGCUGGUUGGGGGGGUAGUGGCUUACCAAGCCUUUGAGGGCUAGCCGGCCUGGGAGGGUGACCGGGCUCAUGGGGACUGCGAGAGGGCGCAGACUCCUACGGUAGGCAGCAGGGGGGAAUAUUGCAGAAUGGGCGGGAGCGUGAUGCAGCAACGCCGCGUUCGUGAUGACCUCCUUCGGGUUGUAAACAGCUUUCGCCGGAGGCGAAGAGUGAGUGACGGUAAUGGGUAAGGAAGCACCGGCUAACUACGUG